rnacentral:lncRNA from 1 species
AUGCCGGUGCUCAGCUGUGGGAAUGAGGUAGGGUGGGAGAGAGCUGGGACCUCGGGAGCUGCAAAGAGUGGUUCUGUGCCCGGACUAAACAUUUUCUGCCACACUGAAAUGGGCAAUACAGCAGGGAACCCUGUCCCCUUAUACGCCACAGGAUCGGGCAGGGUCGCCCAGCCCGUUAGAGGCCCCCAAAUCUUGGGCCUCAGGGAGCCCACUGGCGGCGUUCAGCCGGGCUCCCAGCGACAGCUGCGGCCCUUGUGGAAUGACCGUGGCCACACUGCAUCUGCGCCCGGGAGGCCGCCAGCCCUCCGCGCCCGCAAGGAAACAGGCUCCCGAGGAGCUGGCUCACGCCCGCGGGCAUCGGACGUCUGUCUCCCGAACGCGCGCCCUCCCGGGCGUGAAGCCGGGGAGGAGGAUUCCUCCAGGCGGCGGCUGCGCUCCGGGAAGCCGAGGAAAGGCGUCCGCGCUGGCCUGCAGGCCGGGCCCGCUCGGCCCGACGGGGCUCCGCAGCGCCCGCAGCCCGUGUCCCCGCAGAGGGUGGGGUGGGCGGGUCGGGAAACUGGGGGUGCCCGUGCCUAUUGGGCCUCCGCGAGCUUGCGCUCGCCCGCUGCCCGCAGCGCAGCUCUGCAUUGGUCAGCGCGGCGCCCCGCCCGGCUCCCGCGGCCCCAUUGGCCCGCGGAUGCCCGACCCCCGGCGAGGGCGCUGUGGCGGAGAGCGGGAUUGGUGGUCGCGCCGUCCCCGGGUCGCGGCCGAGCGCUCCGCNNNNCCGGCGGGGCGCGGAGCCGGUCCGCUCGCGCUGGGGAAGGGAGGGUGGGGGCACGGCCUAGCUGCCCCCCGAGCAAUGAGGUCCGGCUCGGACUGGGGCUCGGAGCCCGGCCGCCGGGCGACCUCGCCGGGGAAGGGGGAAGCAGCCAGGCCUCGGGGGAGGACGGCUGGACCCGGGCCGCGCCGUGUGAGGUCACCUGCGUGCGAGACCCCGCAGCGCCGCGCACCUUUGCACAGAGGAGGGACGGGCGAGCGGGCCUCUGCUGUGGGAAGAGGGGAAGGAAAAGUCCAGGGAAAGCUUGA